rnacentral:rRNA from 1 species
GAUGAACGCUGGCGGCGUGCCUAAUACAUGCAAGUCGAGCGAACAGACGAGGAGCUUGCUCCUCUGACGUUAGCGGCGGACGGGUGAGUAACACGUGGAUAACCUACCUAUAAGACUGGGAUAACUUCGGGAAACCGGAGCUAAUACCGGAUAAUAUAUUGAACCGCAUGGUUCAAUAGUGAAAGACGGUUUUGCUGUCACUUAUAGAUGGAUCCGCGCCGCAUUAGCUAGUUGGUAAGGUAACGGCUUACCAAGGCAACGAUGCGUAGCCGACCUGAGAGGGUGAUCGGCCACACUGGAACUGAGACACGGUCCAGACUCCUACGGGAGGCAGCAGUAGGGAAUCUUCCGCAAUGGGCGAAAGCUUGACGGAGCAACGCCGCGUGAGUGAUGAAGGUCUUCGGAUCGUAAAACUCUGUAAUUAGGGAAGAACAAAUGUGUAAGUAACUAUGCACGUCUUGACGGUACCUAAUCAGAAAGCCACGGCUAACUACGUG